rnacentral:lncRNA from 1 species
CAUAUACCCACCCACCCCCAUCAUGUUUCAUGGAGUGUAGGAGUUACACUUAACUUUCCAUGCAAACACUGGACAGUUCUUGUACCACGGCUGCACAUUGAAUGUCGGAUUCCAAACUCUUGAGACACAUAAAAUAUAGCUUUGAGCUACAUGGAAAUUUUUGACUUUUUGUGUUCAGCAGCCAGUCAUGGUAGUAGCAGCCUGUAACUCCAGCCCUUGGGAGGUCAUUGCCAGCCUAACAAGACCUUGUCUCGAGAAUAUUCAUAGCUAUCUGUAUUUAGAUGAACUAAAAAGUAGUUACUGAAGAACAUAUGAUAUGUUAAAAAGAAAACUUGUAUGCUCACUGGUUUUUUGUUUUCUGUUCAGUAAGUAGUGAACUAGCUGUUGUUUUGCCUACAGAAGUUGACUGCAGUCAGUUAAGACGCCAGCUGUGUGGAGGAAGUCAAGCUGCCAUAGAGAGAAUGAUUCACUUUGGCCGAGAGCUACAAGCCAUGAGUGAGCAGCUGAGGAGGGAAUGCGGCAAGAACACAGCAAAUAAGAAAAUGCUGAAGGACGCAUUCAGCUUACUAGCAUAUUCGGAUCCUUGGAAUAGUCCAGUUGGAAAUCAACUUGACCCAAUUCAGAGAGAACCUGUGUGCUCAGCUCUUAACAGUGCAAUAUUAGAAACCCACAAUCUGCCAAAGCAACCUCCACUGGCCCUAGCAAUGGGACAGGCCACACAGUGUCUGGGACUGAUGGCUCGAGCAGGAGUUG